GACGAACGCUGGCGGCGUGCUUAACACAUGCAAGUCGAACGGAGUGGGGAACGGGUGAGUAUUACGUGAGUAACCUGCACUCAACUGUGGGAGAAGCCUGGGAAACUGGGUCUAAUACUGCAUAGUUGGGGAUGGGCUCGCGGCCUAUCAGCUUGUUGGUGGGGUGAUGGCCUACCAAGGCGGUGACGGGUAGCCGGCCUGCGUGGGUGGUGGGCCACAUUGGGGCUGGGAGACCGCCCAGGAGCCUACGGGAGGCAGCAGUGGGGGAUAUUGCACAAUGGGAGCAAGCCUGAUGCAGCGACGCCGCGAGAGGGAUGAAGGCUUUCGGUUUGUAAACCUCUUACGGUACAGAACGGGUAUGUGCAGAAGAAGCGCCGGCUAACUACGUGCCAGCAGCCGCGGUAAUAC
rnacentral:rRNA from 1 species